CGAUGCCGUGUCUCUCUUUUGAUCACUAUGAGGAAUAAGAUCUCUCAAUAUCUGAAAUCUGAAAGAAAAAUACCAUUGUUCAAAAUUUUGACUGAUAACCAAAUUUUCAAUCAAUAUCCUAGAUUUUACAGUAAAACAACAUCUAACGUUGAAAUUUCCGGUAAUUUUUAUUAUUAUUUCACUUGUGACCAUUUGUUGAGAUACUGGUAUCCACAAUGAUACAGGUUGCCUUGCCAGCAGUCACACACACAAAAAUGCAAGCCUCGCAAUCAGUAUUAAGAUUAUGUCAAGCUAAACAAGUGCGUUUAUAUUUUUUAACACUACAGCAUGACCAAAAGCUGAUAAAAAAAAAAAGAGGG